CGUUUUGUAGAGGAAGUCUCUAAGCGAGUUAGAGAGUCUCUUUUGUGCUGUUGUCGUCGACUCGUCUCUACCGGCGACUUUUGAUCGGAGAUUCUCAUUCUCAGAAGAGGGCAAGCCCUUGAAAAAUAUUGAGAGUUGGGGAAAUAGGAGUAGGUAAAAUUGAGAAAAUCAAUGGUAAAGAUUUUUGAGUUACGACGCUGCUUUUGCAGAGAGAUAGAUAGAUACUUAGCCAAGAACCAGCCAGUAGUAUUCUCCGAUCUCACCGACGAUUUCGGGAAGAUUGGGUCUGUAAGAAUGGAGGCCCUAAUCUCCACUUCAUUGGCACUCACUUCGGAAAAUGUAAAGUUCAGGUUGCAGAUUGUGAUACAAGAGAAUUCACAGAUUGGAAAUGUCUGUUAGUGACUUUGGUGGAGCAAUGGGCCAAUCAUUCUAUCAAGGAAUCUGUUGUGUUGUAUCUGAAAGAUUGGCACUUUGUCAAGGUGCUUAUCUGAGGAGUAUCGCCGCUGUUUUCUGAUGAUUGGCUUAAUAUCUAUCUAGACAAUUACCAUAUGCAUGAAGGAUAGAGAUAAUUUCCAGAAGUAUGAUCAAAUUAGCUGCUCUGAUUAUCGGUUUGUUUAUAUGGUCUGAGUAAGAAGAUCAAACACACUGUUUGAGUGUUUUGGCCUUUGGAUAAAGCUGAUGAUUUCUGUACUCUUGCCUACAGGAUCGAUCUUGGACACCUCUACACGCUGCUGUAUUUAGAUCUUAUAGUUGGUCACUAACGUAUGUUGUAAAUAAAGGAUGGCUUUUUCUUCCUCCUCCUUAAAGUCUGACAUGCAAGUCUUUUUUUUUUUUUUUUACUAUUGGUCAUGUAACCUUUUGACCUUUCUGUGAAGUGUCUGUGAUCCACAUUUCUUCUUCACUCAUGUGUUAGCCUUAUAGUUAGAUGAGUAUUGUGUUUAUAUAACAUCUUUAAAGAGGUGAAGGAAACUUAAUUCCCCGCUUUUAAGAAGACCACCUGGCUUGAGUGCAUUCAAGAACCCGGUGAAGUUAUCUUUGUUCCCAGUGGGUGGCCUCAUCAAGUAUAUAACUUGGAAGACACGAUAUCUAUUAACCACAACUGGCUCAACGCAUACAACCUAUCUUGGGUGGUCUUUGUUGGCAUGUCGUUGAGGACAUAUCUAGAGGCAGCUUGGAGGGAUAGAAUGGCUCCAAUUGACCCGUCAACUCUGGUUUAGAGGAAUGAGCAGU